GCGGGCAUGGCCAAGCGGUAAGGCGACCGCCUGCAGUUACCAGAAUUGCAGGAGAAAGCGGUUAUUCGGGGGUUCGAAUCCCUCUGCCCGCU
rnacentral:tRNA from 1 species